rnacentral:lncRNA from 1 species
UGUGUUUUGCUGUUUUCUUUCCUUCUUGCUGCCCAUGUGGUGUUUAUACUUGCACAUGCAUGUUCUUCAUCCAUUUAGCUAGCAAUAAACACAUUUUCUGCCAUCACAUGGCAGCUAUGAUGUUUGAAGUUGUAGGCCAACACUUUGCACACACACAUGUAGAUUUCUAGCCCAUUGAAUCAUCAAAUUCGUCCAUCCUCAUGUCUCCAUGUUUGCACCAUCCAAU